GCCCGCUGGGAUCGGACGUUCUAACGCAUUCCGGCCGGUCCACCAGCCCUGGGUGUGCAUUACGAAACCGGGGUCCCCCAGUGACAAGCGGGCUCCCCUGUUUCUGUGAAGCACUUUCGGUGACAGCAGAGGCAAGUCCAAAUGACCAAAGUGAAGGUGGUUAUUGCACUGGCUGGUUCCGACAGUAAAGGCAUUUGAAAGCCUUUUUACGGUGCACGCGAUAGACUUACUCCUGCAUCUGUGGUGCACGGUUAGACCUAGAAACGUGUACCUGCGACGAGCGUGUGUGGAUAUGCACUUCCGAGGACCAGAAUAACUCAAGACUGCAAUUCUGUUCAGACGGAACAUAAAGGUCGACACUCAAACCACCGAGACACAUGGCCGGGAAGGACAAGGUAACUUCUUCCUGCUGGAGUCUGCAGAUGUCAGAGUCGUGUGACAUUUGAACAUGACAGAGAAGCUCAGUGAUCUGGAGCAUAAAUUAACCACAGGGGAAAGUGUUGCAACAGGCCAGUCACCUGCUUCAGGUUGCUGUCUGAGAGAAAGGAAAAACCUGUCUUUGCGGUCAGCCAGUGAACAAGCAAGCCCUUGACCCUGCCUGAGGGCCAACCACCAGCUCCAGUAUCAAAGGGCCAGUAGUCGACAAGGAGAAGAUAUUGGCUAUCCAUAUAACUGUCAGAGGAUUUGUAUCCAGGAUAUGUCAAGGACUACUGGUAUGUAUCCACUUAGAAAAGGCAAACGACUUAAUGAAAGAUGGACAGAAGACUCGAACAGCAGAGGAAACACGAAUGGCCAAUAAGCACAUGAAAAAGAUGUUCAACCUCAUCAGUAACGGGAAAUGCAGGUUCGGAUCGCAGUACCACUAUUUCACACCCGGUAGUGGGUUGGUAAAAUUUAAAAGACUGAUGGUAUCAAGUGUUGGAGAGGUUGUGGGUCACCAGAAUCCUUAAACGUUGCCAGUGGGAGCUGCUGCAUUUGCAACCACUUUGGAAAAACACUUGUCUCGUAAAAUUGAAUAUUUGUGUACCUCACUAGCCAAGGAUCUCUCUCCUAAACACGCACCUGGGGAAAAUACUUCCGCGUGUGGUCAGGAGACAGACAGCAGCCAUGUGCAAUGGCCAUGUUCACAAUAUCCAACUACCCAUUUACCGGGGAAAGAGGAAACGUGUCGGGGUCUCAGGUCUCUGGAAAACGUGGAACAGCUGACCCUCUGCAACCUGGCUCCUGCUCAGAGCUCUGCCAGCGCGUGGAGCCUUCUGGAAGGAGAGGCCUUGCCAGCUCCCUUUGCUGGAAGAGUCUGCAGUUAAUUGAAGGCUCUCCUCUGAGCACACCUGUCUGGAGUCUGGUCGCUCGGCCGCAGGGAGCACCUGCCGGGCGCUCGGGCAUCCUGGGGAUGGAAUGUGCUGGACGUGCAGCAGCAGGUCAUAGCGGGAGCUCUGGCCCAGGACGGAGAGAAAACAGCGAGUGUGAGCUGAGCCUCAGCGACGGCUGCUGGGAGGACAAUGAUCACGACGCAGUGCUGAGAACACACGCCCAGUGUCUGAGGACGACGAUUCUGGAGAGUUCCAGUCACAGAGCUGGUACCAUGAGGUGAACAGAAAACCCAGAAAUGCUCAGCAAGAUCUCAGGACAAAGGGUUUGUACCAAAACUAUGUGAAAGCUACCUCGACCAAGAAGUCCCUGGGCUAAUGUUCACCAGAUGGGCUGCCGCAUGGCCUUCUCUGCAGGACACAUCGGACUCCCGCCCAGAUGGGCAGGACGCUUCCUGAAAAUGGACAGGGUGGGGGCAAGACGGUGUGUUAUUGCCCCUAGAGCCGCCGACACGUAGAAAUAAAGAGAAGAAACAGUUCCUCUUUCUAAACUGUUUUCAGGUUGAAGGACAUUGGAUGGGAAAUCCUGAUCAGAAGGUACAUUUAGCAUCAUCAUUGAUAACUAUUUCCACUCAACAUAUUUUUAAUAUGGGUAACCCCCCAAAUAUAAACUUUUUAAGUGCAGCUAUUGAAUAUGGAACUUUCCUUGCAAAUUAUUUCUUACCAAAAGGACAUGUCAAUCUAGUGAUGGGAGUCUAUUUUAGGGGCUUACUUUCUCUCCCUAGUGGAAUGUGGGGACUCCACAAACAGAUGGAGAAAGCCGGAUCCUGGUUUUACUGUAGCAGGCAGCCAAUUCCUCAGGCUGAGGAGUUUUUAAAUGUUGAAAUGUAUUCUGCAGAAGAAUCUUAGGCGUUAACUACCCAACCUCGUGUUGGCCUGUGAAACUUAAUCUUCAGCAAAGAAAUAAAAGCAACUCUAGCCUUCUAUUUUAUUGAGCUCCUCUGAGAGUAAAAUUAUGCAAUCACAUAAUGGAAGUGGCUUUUUUUUUGUUACAGCUUCUGGCUACCA